CUCCUCCCUUUCCAGCGAUGGCAGCGACGGCGGAGCACGAGCAGGUGAGGUGCGGCGCCUUCGUCGGACCGCUACAGCCACGGCGGAGGAGAAGGUGGACGCCAUGGGCGCGGCUACAGAGGAGGCGGAGGAGAAGGCGGACGUCGUGUGCUUGCUACACGGCUACAACCGAGGCGGAGGAGAAGGCGGAUGCCAUGGCCUUGCUGCGCUCAUGGGCGUUCUUGAGGAUGGUACACCGGCCGUGCCGCCGCCAGUCCUCUCUGGCCUCCCGCGUGUUAUCCUUCUCAACCUCCGCUCCUCCUGUCGUGAUUUGGAUGGGAAAUUGGAGGCCGGCCAUGUCCUUGUCCAACACAUAUUGAUGUAGUGCCCGACCCGGAUUUGAUUGGCUGUUAUAAGAAGCAAAGGUCCUCGGUCGGAAUCUCCAUCAGGUUUUGCCCUUCGACCAUAAUCUCCAUCAUCCCAUCGAAAUAGCAAUUUUUGACCAAACAUCCAAUGUCGCCGCCAAGUUCGCCGGACGAAGAAGCGCCGAGUUCGCCGGAGGAACAAGAACGCCCGUCGAGCCGUGCAAUGUCUCUUGUGGCGGCUACACGAGAGUGCCAUCCUUCUUCCGUGAUGCUGCUGCAUGCCAGGAUUCGCAGUGGCACCGCCGCAACCAGCAAGGACACAAGAUCACGAGGAUUGUUGCCGCUUCCGAGGACAUGGGAGCUGCCAUAGCCAGCGAGUACGUGAGCACACACAGUCACCAUCACUUAAGAGGAUGCGAGAGCCAUCUCAGCUUGAGAGGAUGCGCAUACCAUCUCCGGGUAUAUAGCAGUAACAUCUCUCCCUAACUCCACUCUGAUAUGUAGCAUUUUUUUCUAUCCUAUUGUGAGACUGCAGUGUGUGCAACAAGUGUUCUUCUAAAUGUCUGAGCAUAAAGACUGCUCAUGGGUGAUGCUUCUGAGACCAAACGUCUAUGUGAGGGAGUUCUAUGAAUACACUCCGAGGGCGGGGAUCCCAUUUCAAUGAAAUCAUGCUACGUACUAUAACUUAAACACGCCAAGAAGAUGAGGGAUAGUCCUUCGUUGGAGCUAUAUUUCUUCCAAGGAUGGUUGUUGGCAUGGAUCAGCACCAGUAAUACCCUGAAUUUUCUGAACUUGGCUCCUCUAGCCUAACUUGAUGAUGAAAGUUUCAGUCAAAUGAAUUUAUUAUGUAUAUUUGGCUUGGAGUUAAUCCCAAAAAAAUAAAUUUCUUAUGUCUA